rnacentral:misc_RNA from 1 species
AAGACUAUAGACCUGCGGAGUACCUGCGGAAGGAUCAUUAGUGAACGCCCUCACGGGCUUAUAACUAUUCCAAACCUCUGUGAACCGUGCCCUUCGGGGCUAUUUUACAAACAUGGUGUAAUGAACGUCAUAUAUCAUAACGAAACAAAACUUUUAACAAUGGAUCUCU